rnacentral:rRNA from 1 species
GUCCAGACUCCUACGGGAGGCAGCAGUGGGGAAUAUUGCACAAUGGGGGGAACCCUGAUGCAGCGACGCCGCGUGGGUGAAGGAGUAUUUCGGUAUGUAAAGCCCUAUCAGCAGGGAAGAACAAUGACGGUACCUGACUAAGAAGCCCCGGCUAACUACGUGCCAGCAGCCGCGGUAAUACGUAGGGGGCAAGCGUUAUCCGGAUUUACUGGGUGUAAAGGGAGCGUAGACGGCGGUGCAAGCCAGAUGUGAAAGCCCGGGGCUCAACCCCGGGACUGCAUUUGGAACUGUGCUGCUAGAGUGUCGGAGAGGCAGGCGGAAUUCCUAGUGUAGCGGUGAAAUGCGUAGAUAUUAGGAGGAACACCAGUGGCGAAGGCGGCCUGCUGGACGAUGACUGACGUUGAGGCUCGAAAGCGUGGGGAGCAAACAGGAUUAGAUACCCUAGUAC